rnacentral:rRNA from 1 species
GACGAACGCUGGCGGCGUGCUUAACACAUGCAAGUCGAACGGAAAGGCCCUGCUUUUGUGGGGUGCUCGAGUGGCGAACGGGUGAGUAACACGUGAGUAACCUGCCCUUGACUUUGGGAUAACUUCAGGAAACUGGGGCUAAUACCGGAUAGGAGCUCCUGCUGCAUGGUGGGGGUUGGAAAGUUUCGGCGGUUGGGGAUGGACUCGCGGCUUAUCAGCUUGUUGGUGGGGUAGUGGCUUACCAAGGCUUUGACGGGUAGCCGGCCUGAGAGGGUGACCGGCCACAGUGGGACUGAGACACGGCCCAGACUCCUACGGGAGGCAGCAGUGGGGAAGAUUGCACAAUGGGCGGAAGCCUGAUGCAGCAACGCCGCGUGCGGGAUGACGGCCUUCGGGUUGUAAACCGCUUUCGCCUGUGACGAAGCGUGAGUGACGGUAAUGUGUAAAGAAGCACCGGCUAACUACGUG